AGUGAACGCUGGCGGUAGGCCUAACACAUGCAAGUCGAACGGCAGCACAGUAAGAGCUUGCUCUUACGGGUGGCGAGUGGCGGACGGGUGAGGAAUACAUCGGAAUCUACUUUUUCGUGGGGGAUAACGUAGGGAAACUUACGCUAAUACCGCAUACGACCUACGGGUGAAAGCAGGGGAUCUUCGGACCUUGCGCGAUUGAAUGAGCCGAUGUCGGAUUAGCUAGUUGGCGGGGUAAAGGCCCACCAAGGCGACGAUCCGUAGCUGGUCUGAGAGGAUGAUCGGACACACUGGAACUGAGACACGGUCCAGACUCCUACGGGAGGCAGCAGUGGGGAAUAUUGGACAAUGGGAGCAAGCCUGAUCCAGCCAUACCGCGUGGGUGAAGAAGGCCUUCGGGUUGUAAAGACCUUUUGUUGGGAAAGAAAAGCAGCAGGUUAAUACCCCGCUGUUCUGACGGUACCCAAAGAAUAAGCACCGGCUAACUUCGUG
rnacentral:rRNA from 1 species